CUCAAAACAGCCGCACCCUUCACUUCAUUAGGAGAGAGAAGUGAGAAUGGUGAAGUGAGAAAGUGGAGUGCAGAGAAGAGAGUGGAGUGCAAAGAAGAGAGUGAAUGUGAGAAUGGAAGAGGAGAGAACGCAGAUGCACCAUGCUUCUUUGCUUCUUCACUUUUCUUUGUUGUUCUUCUCCGGCCUGCUUAUUUGCUUCUACCCCUGUUCUCCUUUUUCAUGCUCAUUUCCCUCAUCUUCUUGUUCAUUGUGUCCAUGUUUAUUUACUACAUCCUCUACAACAUUUUCAUCUUCCUUUUCAUUUCCCUCUUUUAUUAUAGACCCGCGGGUACCCACAAACCCGCGGGUAUUCUGAACUACCCGCAAAAUACUCGUUUGCGGGUACGGGUAAUAAGCCCAAAUUUUUAAACGGGUAUUCUG
rnacentral:lncRNA from 1 species